UCGCUCCUUGAAAUCUACUAAUAAGGAGUCGUGCCUGCCCAGUGAAUUUUUUUAACGGCCGCAGUACCCUGACUGUGCUAAGGUAGCAUAAUCACUUGUUUAUUUAAUUGAAAGCUUGUAUGAAUGGCUUGACGUGAACAAAGCUGUCUCUUUAAUAUUAUAUAAAAAUUAUUCUUUAAGUGAAGAAACUUAAAUAUUCUUAAAAGACGAAAAGACCCUAUCGAGCUUUAAACUUAUAUUAAAUUAAAAAUUAUAGAAAAAUACACUUUAGUAACAGUUUUUUGUUGGGGCGACAGAAGAACCUAUUUAGCUUCUUUUUAUUAAAGAAAUUGAUAUAUUAUUUGAGCCAUAAAUUAUGAUAAAAGACAAAGUUACCGUAGGGAUAACAGCGUAAUUUUUUCAGAGAGUUCUAAUCGAAGAAAAAGUUUGCGACCUCGAUGUUGGAUUGAAGUAACUUUUAAGUGCAGCAGCUAAGAAAGUGGGUC
rnacentral:rRNA from 1 species